CUCUGACCUCAAAUCAGGUAGGACUACCCGC
rnacentral:rRNA from 1 species